AUACACUCUGGAGAAGUUGGAUACCAGAUGAUGCUUAUCUAUAUUUCCCAGAUUCUGCGAAAAACAGUACGUUCUACAGUGAUAGGCCUAAGUACCAAGAACAGGGAGCUACUCCUUAUUCUGCCCCAGAUUAUGUCUACAAGACUGCCAAAGAAAUGAAUAUAGAUCAAAGCAGGGUAUUAAAUAAUUUCAAUGUGACAUGGAAUUUCAAUGUGAACAAGAAUUCUACCUACUUUGUCAGGGCCCAUUUUUGUGAUAUAAUUAGUCCGUCCCUUGGUCUUCUUACGUUCAAUUUCUAUAUCUAUAGCCAGUUCAGUGAUAAGAUCAAUCCAUACGACAUAAUGGGCCAGUUGGCAGCUCCCUUUUACGUCGAUUAUGUUGUUGAUUCUGACGAUUCUGGAUAUAUGAAUAUCAGUAUUGGUCCUAGCCAGGGAUCAUCGAACGGAACUGCCUUUCUGAAUGGGCUGGAGAUUAUGGAGUUGACCAAAGGAUCCAGUUUAGUCCCUG
rnacentral:lncRNA from 1 species